CAGGAACAAUUCCUGUUCUCACUGUGUUUACAAUCUCCCAGGAAAAUACAAAUGAUGGGUACACAGCAAUGAAGAUAAAUUCAUCUCUGACAAUUACAAGUGCUAUGAAGAAAAUAAAACAUAGGAAAAGGAAAAGGGUACUAAGGUGAAAAAGAAUAUGACAUUCCUCUCUGAAGGGGUGGCAUUUGAGCGGAGCUGGCUGGGUGGAGAAAUCGGAGAGCUUUUAGACAAAUUGAAAAGCUUCCAUUUUUUCUAUACGGGGGCAGCAAUAGGUUGGAAGAAGUUUGAAGGACUUUUAAAAAAUGAUAUUGCAUAAAAAUCCCUUUCUGUUUAUUUACAGUACAUAUUUAUUUGAAAUGGAAGGAGCUGAUACAAAAAAACAGGUGACUGAGUGCGCCCCCUUCAUAUCUACCAGGCCGUUCUUUGAGCUUCCAGACAUUCAAACAGAAAGCAAAAGCAAAGGCAAAGCCCAACCGGUGUGGCUCAGUGGUUGAGCAUUGACCUAUGAACCAGGAGGUCUUGGUUCAAUUCCAGGACCAAUUACACUGAAGGAAUCUAGAAGGUGACCAGAAAACCUCCUGUGAAAAACAUUCACUCCAAGGAUCCUGGGAUCUACUAAUACCAAGAAGAUAAUCACACAGGACAAACGCCCUAUCAGUUCAUCAUGUGGCCACUUGAAAGCAAACUCCUAUGAAAAUGCAAGGCACUUUUGGCAUAUUUGCUAUGAUCCGUAUGAUUAAUGUUGUAUCAUAAAUUCUCUAGCUUAUGUUUAUAAUACUCUUCAAACAGAUUGGGUGGUUUCAGUAUUCUCAACUAGGUGACCUUCCAGAAUCUGUUAGAAUCUCUAGCACUUCUAAACCCUUAGUUGUGUAACAAUACAAAAUUGACCAAAAUUUGUCACUGAGUGAUUAUUUGAACAAAACCCAACAGAAAUGUCUAUUUUCUCAGCUGCGUUUGCAAUUCUUUUAAAUGAAAAUGUUUUAAAUGAUAUAGUUUCACUUAGGGACUAUUGGAGGAUAAAGUGUUUCUUUGAUAUGGGGAACAAUAACAUAUAAAAGAUAUUUUUAAAUAUUACUUGACAUUUAGGAGGGAAGUGAGCUAAAAGGAAAUGGGUGGAAUUUUACCUAAUAUAUCUAACCAAAAAUAAUCUUAAUCUGUUCAAAUCAGUUUUCCUUUAAGAUAGAAUUUUAUUAUUUAUUGCAUUGAUUUGUUGUUGAAUAAUAUUGAAGGUUCCUUUUUGUAACUUAAAUAUGAAAUGACUGUAAAAUUCAGGGUUACCAAAGGUAAUGGAAAUUUGAUUUCCUUUAAAACAUUUAAUGCAUCUAUUUCUGCAUAUUUUUCUAAGCUUAUUUUACUAAAUAGAUUUAAAAUGAUCUCAAAGGCUUAUUAUGUUUUAAUUCUGAAAGAGCUUAUCAACUCCUGUCCCUUUCUUUUGCAGAUGAUUAAACAGAGGGCAGUACAAAUUAAACGACCUGGUAGAAAUAUAGAUUUUAUGUGUUACCUUUCAUUUCCCAUUUUUGGAGGGUUUUGUUACAUGCUUUUAAGCCUCUCAACUGUUGAAUAAUCUUUUUGUUUCUUCCAUUUUCCUUCUCUCAUGAGCUUACCCUCUAAAUACAUUUAGCUUUUACUCUUACAUUUUUUUUCCAGAGUAACAUUCAACCAUUUCUUGCAUUCAACUUUGACCAAUAUUAAAAUUUUUUACAAUAGUUUUUAAUAUAAUGCCUUGUCCCCAAGUCUGUAUCAGUUAGCUACUGUUGUUAUAUGCUACAUAAGAAGUAACCCCAAAACUCAAUUGUGUACAGUAACAAGCAUUUAUUUUUGUUCACACAUCCGCAAAUUGAUGCAGUUUCAUUGAUCUAGACUGGGUUGGCUGUGUUUCCUGUCAAAACUGUCUGGCUACCUAAGCAUGUUAUUUUCAUGGCAAAGGCAAAAGACUACAUCUAAACUCACAAGUAUAUUUCAAACCUCUGCUAGUUUUAUUUCACCAACAUCCAAUUGUCCAAAACAAGUCACACAGCCAAACACAUCAUCAAUAGGAUAGAGACAAUAUUCCUUCCAAAGAGAUUGGGGCAUUGAACAAUGAGUGAACAUUUGCUGAACAAUAAUUUUCCAUACCGGUUCUGAAGCUACUCAAAACUUUGUUGAUACAAACCCUCUCUUCAAAUAAUUUUGAAUAAAUACUUACUAGACACCAA